rnacentral:rRNA from 1 species
GACGAACCGUGCGAACGUUGUUCGGAUUCACUGGGCUUAAAGGGCGCGUAGGCGGCUUGCCAAGUCAGGGGUGAAAUCUUUCGGCUCAACCGGAAAAGUGCUUCUGAUACGGGCAGACUAGAGGCAGGUAGGGGAGAAUGGAAUUCCCGGUGUAGCGGUGAAAUGCGCAGAUAUCGGGAGGAACACCGGUGGCGAAGGCGGUUCUCUGGGCCUGACCUGACGCUGAGGAGCGAAAGCGUGGGGAGCGAACAGG